CCUAAAUGAGCCUAAAGUAGUAACACAAUCAUCUCUCUCUUUCAUUUGCUUGUAGCCCUAGCCGCACGCCAGAUUCCUGUACCCUUGCCUCAUUCCUUCGAUUCCAUCCACUUGCUGUUUUGAUUUCUCCUCUUAGAGCAAGGUCAGCGUUUCAUCUUCGAUUCCAUCGGUAUCAACACAGUGGGUAUUUUGAUUAUUAUUAUUAGCUGUGAUUGAACCCCAUUCAUUCGAUGAUAGUUUUUCAUAGUGGGUAUUUUGGUAUCGCGAUUUGAAUAUGUGAAUUUGUGUGAAAGGAGACACAUAUAUCACUGCCUUGUUUCUUUGCCUUUAGCAUUCCUCAAGGAGGAGAAGAGUAACCUUCGCUGUAUUUUCAUUUUACAGAGAGAGACACACGCAUAGCUCUACCACUAUUAGCUUGGCCUUGCCAAAGUGGAGCUUGAACCUGGAUUCCUCAGUCCUUCUAAUCCCUCUAACUGAGGUUAGGGUUUUCGUUUGCUUUCCUCCUUCUCAUCUUUUUCUAUAAAUAUGAUUCAUUCGUGGAUCCUCUUUGUGAUUAUUAUUAGUGGAUUUGAUGUGAAUUUCACUGUUGUGCUUCCUUGUGUGAGUUACUGAUUUGAGAUUUUGAGAUCUUAAGUGUGUUUUGUUGUUCAUUUAAGGGACUUUUCACUCUGCUAAAUAUACCUUGAGAUAGGUUUCAAUUAGUUUAGUUAGUGACUGCAAGUUUAGCCUUUUGAGUUAUUUUCUUAAUGUGCUUUUAUAUUCUAGAAGUUGUAGGAGUAGAGGUUAGAUCAUCCGAAAUUAUUUUAGGAAUUCCAUACGAUAAAAUUUGUCAUUUUCUUUGAUUGUAGAGUGUUAAUUGUAAUGAUGGAUUUACUCACUUAAAUGUUUACCUUCAAUAUGAAUUGCAUAAGAAUUCUCCUUUUCCAUUUCUCUAAUUUUUUUUUUGUCUAAAAUGAUUAUCACAUUAAUAGUAUCAAAAAAAUCAAAUUAGCUAGGAAUAUGAUUGUCGAAUUGGAUUAACAGAUUUAGAUAAAGUGGGAGUGAAAUUUUCGAUAAUUGACAGGGAGCCAAUACAUCAUGCUAUAGCAGUUUAUUAGAAGCUAAUGAUGCAGUGGAGCAAACCCCAAAUGACACACUGCAAUUCGUGUGAUUAAUGUUUUCUUAGUCCCCAAAUUUCACUUUGAUCCCAUCAAGAUGCAAUUUUAUCAUAAUGUUGAUUUUUCUUUUUCCUUCUCAAAUAUUUAUUGUUGUCCUGCCUAUGAAAACUUGUUAUCUUUUUGAUAGAAAUUGUACACAUAAAAUGUUAUAUUAUCUAUUCUCUGUUUUAUAUUAUGUGGAAUCUGUAAAUAGUUUCAUUUAGUAGGGGUUCCCAAAAUAGUGAGGUAACUAAUCCUUGUAUGGUUUCCUAGAA
rnacentral:misc_RNA from 1 species